AAUUUCGCUACCUUAGGACCGUUAUUCCUUGUCGGGUAAGUUCCGACCUGCACGAAUGGUGUAACGAUCUGGGCACUGUCUCAACCAUGAGCUCGGUGAAAUUGUAGUAUCGGUGAAGAUGCCGAUUACCCGCAAUGGGACGAAAAGACCCUGUGAACCUUUACUAUAGCUUCGUAUUGACUUCGGGUAAAUGAUGUGUAGGAUAGGUGGGAAACUAUGAAGCGGCUUCGCUAGGAGUCGUGGAGUUAACGUUGAAAUACCACCCUUUAUUUAUCUGGAGCCUAACUUCUGUAAGAAGGACAUUGCGUGGCGGGUAGUUUGACUGGGGUGGUCGCCUCCAAAAGAGUAACGGAGGCUUUCAAAGGUACCCUCAGCACGCUUGGCAACCGUGCGUAGAGUGUAAUGGCAUAAGGGUGCUUGACUGUGAGGCCAACAAGCCGAACAGGUGCGAAAGCAGGACAUAGUGAUCCGGUGGUUCCGCAUGGAAGGGCCAUCGCUCAUAGGAUAAAAGGUACUCCGGGGAUA
rnacentral:rRNA from 1 species